UUCGGAAACGGACGCUAAUACCGCAUACGUCCUACGGGAGAAAGCAGGGGACCUUCGGGCCUUGCGCUAUCAGAUGAGCCUAGGUCGGAUUAGCUAGUUGGUGAGGUAAUGGCUCACCAAGGCUACGAUCCGUAACUGGUCUGAGAGGAUGAUCAGUCACACUGGAACUGAGACACGGUCCAGACUCCUACGGGAGGCAGCAGUGGGGAAUAUUGGACAAUGGGCGAAAGCCUGAUCCAGCCAUGCCGCGUGUGUGAAGAAGGUCUUCGGAUUGUAAAGCACUUUAAGUUGGGAGGAAGGGCAGUUACCUAAUACGUGAUUGUUUUGACGUUACCGACAGAAUAAGCACCGGCUAACUCUGUGCCAGCAGCCGCGGUAAUACAGAGGGUGCAAGCGUUAAUCGGAAUUACUGGGCGUAAAGCGCGCGUAGGUGGUUUGUUAAGUUGAAUGUGAAAUCCC
rnacentral:rRNA from 1 species